rnacentral:lncRNA from 1 species
CACAACAACAUCGAAAUUAGCACCUUCUCGUGCUAUUGAGACAGGGAAAGCAUCCUCCCAAGCUGCAGCCAAAUCAUCUUCUAUUGCUUCCACGGGAAGAACAAAGGACAUCCAGUGCCUCCAAUGUAAAGGAUUUGGGCACAUCCGAAGGGACUGCCCAAGCAAGCAUGUGCUAAUUAUAAGAGAAAAUGGUGAGUACUCAUCAGGCAGUGAUUUAGAUAAUGAUACAUAUGCCAUGCUUGCUGCCUAAGAUGCAGAAAAGGAGAAUGAUGAUGUAGAGCACAUUGGGGCUGCAUAUGCUGAACACUAUGAGAGCCUCGUUGUAAGACGUGUCUUGAGUGCCCAAAUUAUUAAAGCUGAACAAAACAAGCGACACAACCUGUUCCAAACUAAAUGUGUAGUUUUGGAACGAUCUUAUCAUAUUAUAAUUGAUGGAGGAAGCUGUAACAACUUAGAAAGCACCACCAUGGUAGAGAGGCUUGGGCUGAAAACGCUUCCACAUCCACACCCCUACUAUAUCCAAUGGUUCAACAACAUUGGUAAGCUUAAGGUAACACGUAUGGUCCGUGUGGAAUUUACAAUUGGUUCAUACCAUGCUUAUAUUGAUUGUGAUGUGGUACUCAUGCAAGCUUGCUCUAUGUUAUUUGGUAGACCAUGGCAAUUUGAUAAGGACACCGUGCAUCAUGGUAAAACAAAUCAAUACUCUUUUAUGCAUAAUGAGAAGAAGCUUGUUUUGCACCCUAUGUCCCCCGAUGCUAUCUUAAAAGAUGAAGUUGCUAGAGCAUGCAAAGAGAAAAAACAAAUAUGUUCAUAAUAAAAAUCUAGAUGUUACAAAGGAAUUGGUACAACCUAAGAGUGAUAAUUCUAAAUCUGCUCAUGUAAGGAAAAAUGAAAUACAACUGAAAAGUGCUUGUUUCAUUGCUUCCAAAUCUGAUUUACUUGAAUUAAACGAUGUUGCUGCAAUCUGCUAUGUGUUUAUAUGUAGAUGAUGUGCUGGAUGAACUUAGUGGCUCGAUGAUUUUCUCUAAGAUUGACUUACGUAGUGGAUAUCACCAAAUUCGCAUGAAGCUAGGAGAUGAAUGGAAAACAACAUUUAAAACCAUGUUUGGUUUGUACGAGUGGUUAGUCAUGCCUUUUGGUCUUACUAAUGCACCUAGUACUUUCAUGAGAUUAAUGAAUGAGGUUUUACGUGAUUUCAUUGGAAGAUUUGUGGUCGUCAACUUUGAUGAAAUAUUGAUCUAUAGCAAAUGUCUAGUAGAUCAUCUUAAUCAUCUAUGUGCUGUUUUUAAUGCUUUACGUGAAGCACGCUUAUUUGGUAACCUUGACAAGUGCACAUUUUGCACAGACCGUGUCUCUUUUCUUGGCUAUGUUGUGACACCACAGGGAAUUGAAGUUGAUCAGGCUAAGGUAGAGGCAAUACAUAGCUGGCCAAUCCCUACCACGGUCACGCAAGUCCGAAGCUUUCUUGGGCUUGCUGGGUUCUAUCGUCGAUUUGUGAAAGAUUUCAGCACCAUCGCAGGGCCACUUCACGAGCUUACGAAGAAGGGUGCUACAUUUGCUUGGGGCAAGGCAUAAGAGGAUGCAUUUGAGACUUUGAAGGAUAGGUUAACUCAUACACCCCUUCUCCAAUUACCUGAUUUUAAUAAGACUUUUGAAUUGGAAUGUGAUGCUAGCAGUAUUGGUUUGGGCGGUGUCUUGUUGCAAGAAGGGAAGCCUGUUGCUUAUUUUAGUGAGAAACUGAAUGGACCUAGUUUGAACUAUUCCACUUAUGAUAAAGAAUUAUAUGCUUUAGUUUGAACUUUGGAAACAUGGCAACACUACUUAUGGCCUAAAGAAUUUGUUAUACAUUCUGAUCAUGAAUCUUUGAAGCAUCUGAGACAAACAAAUCUGAACCGUAGGCAUGCCAAGUGGGUUGAAUUUAUUGAAUCUUUUCCCUAUGUGAUCAAACAUAAGAAAGGAAAAGAUAAUGUCAUUGCGGAUGCUUUGUCUCGUCGGUACACCAUGUUGUCCCAACUAGAUUUUAAGAUUUUUGGCUUCGAGACAAUUAAACAACAAUAUGCUUUCGAUGCUGAUUUCAAAGAUGUGCUUUUACAAUGUAAAGAAGGAAGGACAUGGAACAAAUUUGUUCUCACUAAUGGCUUUGUGUUUUGGGCUAACAAAUUAUGCAUUCCAGCUUGUUCUGUGUGUAUAUUAUUAUUACAGGAAGCACAUGGAAGUGGGUUGAUGGGAGAUUUUGGUGUGAAGAAGACAGAAGACAUAUUGGCGAGCCAUUUCUUUUGGCCAAAGAUGAGAAGAGACGUGGAGCGAUUUGUUGCUCGCUGCACCACUUGUCAAAAAGCUAAGGCCCGUCUUAAUCCACAUGGUUUAUACAUGCCUCUCCCUGUUCCUAAUGCACCAUGGGAAGAUAUUUCUAUGGACUUUGUUUUAGGACUGCCUAGAACAAAGAAGGGGAGGGAUAGUAUUUUUGUUAUUGUGGACAAAUUUUCUAAAAUGGCACACUUUAUACCAUGUCACAAAACUGAUGAUGCUACCCAUGUUGCUGAUUUGUUCUUUCGGGAAGUUGUUCGUUUGCAUGGGGUUCCAAACACUAUUGUUUCUGAUCGAGAUACUAAAUUUCUUAGUCAUUUUUGGAAAACGUUAUGGGCUAAGUUGGGAACUAAAUUUCUCUUUUCUACUACUUGUCACCCUCAAACCGAUGGACAAACUGAAGUCAUAAACCGUAGUUUAUCUACCAUGCUUAGGGCUAUUCUGAAACAUAACAUCAAAUUAUGGGAAGAAUGUUUGCCUCACAUUGAGUUUGCUUAUAAUUGUUCGCUGCAUUCUACAACUAAACUAUGCCCUUUUGAAAUUGUGUAUGGUUUUGUCCCUCGUGCUCCUAUUGAUCUUGUUGCCAUCCCACAUUCUGAAAAAAUGAAUUUUGAUGCUUCUCGCCGCGCUGAAUUGAUUAUAAACCUACAUAAACAAACUAAAGCAAAUAUUAAAGCCAUGAAUGCUAAGUAUGAACAAGCAGGUAGCAAGGGUAGAAAGCAUAUUACCUUUGAACCUAGUGAUUUAGUAUGGGUGCAUUUAAGGAAAGAUAGAUUCUCUGAUUUGCGUAAAUCUAAAUUACAACCUAGAGCUACUGGACCAUUCAAAGUGCUUCACAAAAUUAAUGAUAAUGCAUAUAAAGUUGAAUUGCCUGCAGAUUUUGGGGUCAGUUCCUCUUUUAACACUGCAGAUUUGACACCAUACUUGGGAGAGAACGACACAUUUGAAUCGAGGACGACUUUGUUGCAAGAAGGGGAGGAUGAUGAGAACAUCACUAUUAUUGAUAUAACCACACCAGUGACCCCUACACCAUUCGUAGCUAAUCAAGGACCAAUGACACGAGCCCGUGCACGUAAAAUUAAUUAUCAGGUGAACUCGUUCCUUGUUGUUGAAACUAAUUCUUCUUUAAAUGAGGUACUAAAGCAUGGUGAUAACUUUAUUAUGCUUAGGUGUUUGGGAGUUGAACCAUCUUGGAGUGAAGAAGGCAGAAAUGUGAUUAAAUCUGUUGGACUCGAAGGGAUUUCGUAACUGCAGCAAGGCCAAUGAAGGCAAAUUAGCACUUGAUGGAAAGCACUCUUCGUCUACUUCUUGGUGGAGAAAGAAUCAAUUAGAGAUACCAAAUGAGGCGUCCAGAAACUGUCGAGAGAACUUCAUGACUCCACCAGCCGAGGGAAUUCGUAACUGCAGCAAGCACCAUAUUAAAUGGAGCAUACCUUUCAUCUCCCAAGGUUGUUUAGUGCAAAUAAGUAGUUGUUGGAAAGCUCUCUUCGUCUACUUUCUAGAGGAUGAAGAAUCAAUGGGAGAAACCAAACGACACAUCCAGAAAUUGUCGAGAGAGCUUCAUUCUCCACCAGAACUUCUUUCUAUUCCUCUAUUUAAACAACUAGCAGCCACCAAAGAACUUGGGUUUUUGUUUGAUGUAUGUUUAGCCUUUGCUACUUCCUUGUAAACGCGUGUGUCGGCUAGACCACCCGGAUACUUGAAACAGAACCCCAACUCUAUCAGAUCCGUGAGCGUCUGCUUUUUAUCUUGUUCUUGCUUGUUCUCGAUUGCUUGCAGGUUCAAGGCUGUUCUUGGCACAGCAAGAGCAGCAACAACACGAGCCGGUGUAACUAUCGCUAAGGCGCAGCACCCUUGUGGUUGUUGUAUUCGGAUAGCACAACGUCGACCUCCACUCCAAAUCGUAGUUAUCAGAAGACGGUGUACCUGUCGCUCAAGGCGCCACACCAUCUUGGUUGUGGUAGUCGAGCAGCCAACAUCGUUCUCCAACUAGUUUUCCACCUCCAUCAUCUCUCGUCGAAAGAUCGGGCACCCUUCUACCCGUUGGGUUUAUCAGGUGAUGAUCGCUUGUGAAACGCGUCUGUUGAGUGUUGCUUCCGAACUCUGAAUGACUUUAGUAAAAAAAUCUUCUAUUGUCCUCCUUUGGUACAUUUAACGAUCUUCGCCUUAUGCUUCAGGAAUCAGCACUCUGUCAUCAACUUAUGCUUUAGAGGUCAGCGCUCUGUCCUUUGGGGUUAAAGAUUCAUUGGGUGCACCUACACCCAAUGGGUGUAGCCCCCGAGCUUUGAGUGGAUUAUUGAAAAUAAUCCACUCAAAGAUCUUCAUCUCAUGCUUUAGAAAUCAUCAUUUUAUCUUUAUCUCAUGCUUUAGAAACCAACAUUUUAUCAUCGGUUCACGCUUUAGAGAUCAGCAUUCUGUCCUUUGGGGUUAAGGAUUUAUUGGGUGCACCGGAGGUGCACCCAAUGGGUGUAGCCCCAGAGCUUUGAGUGGAUUAUUGAAAAUAAUCCACUCAAAGAUCUUCAUCUCAUGCUUUAGUUUAUCAUCGACUUAUGCUUUAGAGAUCAGCAUUUUGUCUUCAUCUCAUGCUUUUAGAAACCAGCAGCGUGGUCUGCCCAUGUCCUGUUAGGUUUGAAAUUUAUUUGAUCGGCGACAGAUUGGACGUCUGGUAGAUGGCUCUUGGCUGGUCUUUAUUUUGCUUUGUGCUUCAAUGCUUCUACUGACUAGACUUGUAGUUCAGUAGCUAUAUUUGGCUUUCCUUUGAUCUCUAUCAAUAUCUUCUUUUCGUCUUAACACAUUCAUUGUGUAUACUGUAUGGAUGUGACUGCUUCAGAAAAUCUAUUGAAAAUUCUUGGCCGUCCCCCACCCAAUGGGUGUUUUCCAACGGGUGUGACCAAGGGAUGUCUUGGUACGCAAAGGGUUAUCACAUUAUCUUGGACUAGUAACUUGACGCGACCGCUGGGCGUAAUCAUAUUGCCCCAGCAGUUGACCUUAGUCCAAAUGGUGUCGUGUUACGUGAAGCGGCGUCUGCUGCAUGACUCGCCUUCAGGCGAUUUGAAUUUCUUAUUGAAUACUUGCGACUGUUCGGUGGGCGUGGUCGGAGAUGAACAGUUGCUUCCAGCCUCUAUAAAUAGACUGUUGCUCCGUCAUUGUUUUCACACAUCUUUUGAUCAUCCUUUGUUUCUUCCUCAACCUUCUCUUCUCUUCCAUCUAGCCAUGGGAAAGGACAAGAAAGGUCAGGGCUCGCCGCCUCGCUCCGGCGACAUAUGGAAGCGUGAACCGAGUCCUUCGUUGGAGGACUUCGGUGACUCCGAGUACUCGGAGGAGUUCUCCUCCGAGUCCGAGGGGUCCCUGGUCUACGCUCCCCCCUGGCAUCGUCCGAUGACUCGGACGACUCCUAGGGGAUAGCCGCCAAGGUGUGGACGUACAUCCGGUCCAUCGAGCGUGCCGGGCUCGAGGGUUCGGAUGAGUCAGAGGUCUCCUCAGACGAGGAGAACUCUUCCAACUCAUCCAAGGAAGGGAGCGGCGGCGAUGGUGACGACGAGGGCGAUGGCGGUGGCGAUGGCGGCGACAACGGCGGCAACGGUGGCGGAAGCGACGGUGGCGGCAAGGGUGGCGGCGACGGCAACGGCAAGGGCGACAACAACAGCAAGGGCGGCAGCAGCAGCAGCAAGGCCAGUGGCAAAGCGCCACUAGCUUAAAUAUUAGUAUAGAUAAUUAGUAGUAGCAGCAGUAGUAGUGAAAUAAUGUAGUAGUAGUUAGUAGUAUAGUGUAAUGUGAGUAAUGCAGUAAUGUAAUGUAGUAAAAAGGGAAGAAAAGGCCGACUCAUAAUGAGUUAGUCUUUAAGUUUGUGAAAACUUCCCUCUAUGUAAUGAAGAACCUUGGCCGGUCUGAAUGAAUAUUGCCUCUUUUUUAUAAUGCUUGAUAGUUCGCUUUUGCAUCUAACGUUGCUGGCGUUAUCGAAAAUAAUCACCGAGCGAUAACUGAUGAUGCUGGAGUUUUUGAAGUAACAGCUGAGUCAUGCUUGGUACUAUCAACGUUUUAGAAGUAACGACCGAGUUAUGUUUGACGUUGUUGGCGUUUUAGAGAUAACAGCCGAGUGGUGCUUGAUGUUGUCGGCGCUUUUAGAGGUAACAACCGAAUUAUGUCGGAAGUCUCGUUUUCCCGAGUGAUGACUUGGCCCUUUUCAGAAAUGGCGCCCAACCCGAGAAAACCCCAUUUAUUCUCAUGUCGACGUGCGCUUUUGAUUUCUGAGCCCUAACUUCGCAUUUUCGCCUCAAACCACUUUUUUGCUUCUCUGAGAUUCCGCUCCUCUUCGUCCCGGCGGCGAGAUUGCAAUGGCGCCAAAAUGGAAGAACCAGAGCUCUGCUGCGGCAAUCAUUCCUCCCAUCGACCCAGCAGUCAGUUGUCGUUCGCAGGUAACCACAUGUCUAUUGUUUCGGAAUCAGAUCUUCUUCAUCUUGUUGAUGUUGGGGUUCUUCUUCCAAAAGAGCCCUCCUCUUGGCGGAUUUGUCGCGGGGUCACUGUUCCGACAGAAGACACCCAUGAGUCCAUCAUCUAUGUUCCUUUUCUUAUUCGCGGCCUUGCUCUUCCUGUUUCUCCCUUCUUCCGCGGCCUCCUUAAUUUCUAUGAUCUGAACUUGACCCAUCUAAACCCUAAUUCUAUCCUGCAAAUUUUUAUCUUCGUGCAUCUGUGUGAGGCCUACCUCGGGAUUCUUCCCCAUUUUGGUCUUUGGAAGUAUUUGUAUCAUUGUCGGCCUGGGAUGGCUGGGGGCAGCAUCAGCUCGUUGGUGGUGCAAGUUUGGAGAUGCGUCGCGGGAGGAAGACAGAAUACCUUGAUAUUCCUCUUAAGGAUAACAUUAAAGGGUGGCACCUUGAGUGGUUUAUUGUGGAAAACCACUGCGAGUCCCUCCCCCUCGGUCGGGGAGGCAACUAGAUGUACAUACUUCGAGCUGGGUUGAGUCUCCAACUCCUUUGGAGGUAACGGAGGCCAGAGUUCUGCUUGCUGAGAUCUGUCUGCUGAAGGAGAAAGGUCUGACUGCCGAAGCUGUGGUUGCCGAUUUCAUCUUCAAGAAUAUCCAACCUUUGAAGGACAGGGCAUACCCUGCAUAUUUGUAUAGCGGCAUCAAUGAUGGAACCCGGGUGAAAAACAAGAGAAUUCCCACUGCCGAUCUGCUGAGCCGACUGGAUAUGAUCCUGAGGGGCAGAGUUUCGAAUGCUGGUGCUCCUGUUGCUUAUUCUGCCUGGAACUUGCCAUCACAUAGAUCCUUUUUCGAGUUUGUGUCUAAUCUUCCUGCCCGUGAUGGUGGUCUGGGUCUUAGAGUGCGACCCUCCCCUGAAGACAUUGAAGCUUUAAUUGCCCCACUCCGGAGUCUCCUAGAGGGUGAGAGACAGACUCAUUUUGAGAUGUCAGCUAGCACGGACAACGAGAAGAUAGAUGAUGUGCUCAACUUGUUGGCUAGGGAAUCAUUUGACUCGACACAUGCCGAGCCAAUGGCUAUCACAGACGGGCAAGAACUUGUUGGAAUGGAGAGGAUCCGGAAACCCGAAGAGGUCCGUCUAAAGCAUCCAUGCCGAGUGAGCCAGCCUACUGCGCCAAUUGAAGAGAAAAGGAAGAAGAGGCGGCUUCGGUGACUGUCAAGCUUGGAUCAUGGCACGGGUCCUUCGGCACCGGUUUGUGAUGAAGUGCCAGCAGAGGUCCUUACUCAGGACGAUCCCAAUGGUUAUGCCCAUGCUGAAGUUGAUCCCAAUGGGUGUGCGUACAUGCUGAAGUUGAACCCAAUGGGUGUGACCGUCCUGCAGUUGAUCCCAAUGGGUGUGACCGUGCACCGGCUGUCGUCCGUAUAUGUCACACCCGGGCUUUAAAGAACAAAGCCGGGUGCAUCUCAUACAUGCGCCAAAGAAGAAAACAUAUAUAAUAACAAGGUGUAUAGAGAUAAAUGUCACAAUAUAAUUAGAGUAAUUAUUAAAUAGCGGAAGUCUUACAAAAUAAAAGAUAAAUAUAACAGGAUCUAAAAUACAUCCUUGGCGCCAGAAAGUCAACUUAGAGACGCCACCUAGAUCGAAUCGAACUCCUCGUUGUGUGGCUCCUCUUGAACCACCUGUUCUUCUCCUGUGGGGGGAUGUGAGACAGCAAUGGUGAGCUCACACAUGAUCAUAGCUCAACAAGUUGUGGGGAAACCAGUGUGCAUGUACUCACCAAAGGUGGGAGUUCAUGUGAAGUGUAAGGCUGAUCAACAAAAUAAAGGUUACAGCUGAGCAUUGCUUUUAUAAGUUGGUCAAAAUUUUAUUAGCAGUUACUAAGUGUAAGUAAAUACCAAACCAAAAUAAAUAAUAAUAGAACAAAAUUAAUAACAAAUCCCAUGCAAUGCAUAUGACAAAUUGAGUUUAAGUUUCAUAAAUUAAUCAUGCGAGAGUCCUGAGCUGCUCAUGACCGUGAGCUCGGCUAGUAUACCAGUUUUACACUCUACAGAGGUUGUACCCUGUACCCACAAGUCGUGUAUCCCAUGUCGCCAGGGUUUGCAAGGCCCUUAGACACUACAGAGGUGAAUGGCUAGGGAUCCACUACGAGGCCUUUACAAAGUUCCACUAGCUUCCGAAAACCCACUACAGCUUAUGGGAAGAGCACUUUCAAGAAUCCCCCGUCUGACCGCCAUCGCAGCAAAAUCAACCCGAGAACCUCCUUGCAUGCAACUCCCCCUAGUUAGUUGGCCAAGGGCGUCCCAUUAAACCCUUGUGGUGGCACGUGUUUCUCAAGUUAAGCUCCAUGUUCCAAUUAACAUUUAAUGAUCUUGACAUGAACAUAAAUAACAUAACAGAAUAAUUGGAACAUGGAUAUAAUGAAAUAUUAACCCAAAACCAAAUGAGGCAAUAGCAGAACUACCCAAGUGAUUCAGGGGUAAACAAGGUAAACAGGAUAAACAGACUAGGGUGACCUAUUGGGUCCCAUCAAAUUAAACCUAUGCAUUGAAUUGUGAUAAUGAAGAACAUUAUUGGGUAACAAAAGUGGAUCAAGGGCACAACUUGCCUGGCACUUGAUAUUCCAGUUACCAGGGUGAUUCUUCAGAUCCUCGUGACUUCACCGCUAGUCGUAGCAAUACAAACAAACAUGUUAUAGACAAAAUUAACAUCACACCAAACAUAAGUACUAACUGAAUAAGAAUAUUCUACGCGUUGCUACGAGAUCGUAGGAACAAGAAUUACUAAAAUCGGAGUUACCAUUAAGGAGUUGUGAUUUAUAAAAGAUCUAUGUGAUUUAAAAUAUUAAACUAUAUUAUAAAUUUGUAAGUAUAAAUCAUAGGAUAGGUUAUCCUAUAAAUAAUUAUCUCAAAUUUAAUCCAAGUCAUUAUUUGAUUAAAGAUCAUCUAACCAAAUUAUAGCCAUAAGAUCAUAAUACUAUAUUAAUAUUAAAAUAAGCUCAUCCAGAAAAACAUAGAUUAGUCAAGUUAGUUACCUAAUGUAAAAGUAUGGGGUAUCAUAUAAUCAAUGUUUCUACCGCGUAGUAAAUACUUAUAUUAAACUAACACGACUUGAACGGAUCAAAUCGGAGUUAUGGAUUGUGAGUUAUGAAUUUUCAAAGGUUUUAUGUGUUUGACAUAAGAUUAAUUAUGAAAUAAAUUUUAUUGUUGUUUUAGUGUCAAAACAGAGGUACUAUGUGAUAACCAAUAAUAGAAUUAUAGAAAUGGGAAUGAACUAAUUAGGACAUUACAUGAAUUUUCUAUGAAUUAAACAAUUCUUUGGAUUUGUUUUUAUACUCCAAAUCCAUUUUCUGUAUUAAUUUCUGAAUUUACUAAGGAUCCUGGACUGGGCGUAAUAUUAUCGAGAAGUUCAGGGACUAAAACAGAAACAUUCCUAAGACUCAGUAUUCCCACAGUGUGGACUGCGGGUUAGUUUCUAGGUUUCCUAGGGUUUCUUAUGCAAAAAGGAACCAGCGAAGGGGUAAGGAGCAACCAGAACCGUUGGACCAGACACGCGCGGCUCUGAUUAGAAUCGAACCGGUACGGCUCGGGAUCCCUUGGAUUAUAAAUGAACGGCCUAGAUUUUAUGAGGAUUGAUUUGCUCUGAACCGCACGAUCAAGAUCUAAAGGCACUGAUCCAUUCACGUGAACGGGUAUGCGGGACAAUAUCUCUACCGUCCAACUCAAAUCCUACGGCCAGGGCCCUAAAUUCCUCUUCCCCUCCAACACCGCGACGACCACCGCGUUGGCCACGGCGGCGACCUCGUCGCAGGAAUCACAAUCCAGCGCUCCACACCCCCAAACUCAAAUUAAACGGCGCAACACGAAAUUGGGGACAUAGUUUAGCAGUGUAGAAGGUUCUCGUAGGCAAUCUCGGAGUGGUUCCCCUCGGCCACGACACCAGGCGGACGGCGGUGCAGCACGGCGAUGUUCGGUCAACAACAAAUGGUCUUCGGGUUCACGAGCCCCCAAUUCCACAAUGGUAGCCCACGGAGAUUCUCUCCACCCAGCUGAAACCACCUAGCUGAGCCACGAAGACGACCGGCGACCCACAAUUGACGAUGGCGCGGAGCGACUUUUUCGACCCUCUCUCUCUCUGGUUCUGGCGUUUCGGCAUGAUGCAAGGUGCGGCUAACGAUACGAGCUUGCGGUGGUAGAGGCAUGGCAAGGAAGUUCUUAUACCUAGAUGCGUGAGGGGAAAAAUAAGUCCGCGUGCCAGAUCCCCGGCGAGAUCGACGCGCACGAUAAUGGCGGGGCGGUUAUGACUGAGCUUGAAGCGGAGCUGAUUCCAGGUCCCCACCCACCAGCCUCAGACCAGAGAAGCGCGACGCUACUAAGGUUGGUUGGUGGCCCCGUGGAGCUCGGAUUGGCCACGGGCGAGGAUCGGUUGAGCUCACGCCGUGAUUCCGGGGAUGCGACCGCGAGUCUGUUUUAGGGAGAAGGGAUGGAUCUGCCAACUGGGACCCGCACUUUAGUGACAUAGCGCGAGUGGGAGGGAAUGACCCGAUAGGCCCACUGGUCAGAGCGGAAUUCGUGGCGCAGGCGCACGCUGGAGGUUAUGGUGACCGACCCCACCCGUCAGUGGCGCAGAUCAAGUGCACAACAAAGGUGACUAAAUGGGCCGGGAUUUGUGGGAUUUGGCCCAGCUCUAGUUUUCUUUAUUUAUGGAAUAAAUAAUUUCAUUGAAAUUCCCUUUCUUAUUCUCUAUUUUCUAUUUUCUUUUUAUCUACAAAUUUAAAAUUCAAAUCCAAGAUAAAGUUUAAGAAUUCAAGUUUAAUACCCCCUAAAAUUAAUUAUAAAGCAAUGGAUAUAUAUUUAUUUUAAUUGGUUUAUUUGUUUGAAAUAUGAGGCACACUCAUAUUGUUUUCUUUCUAUUUAAAAAAAUAUUAUUUUGAUUGUGGAACAAGAAUUUAGAGUUACUUCAAAAUUAACUAUUCAUGUAAAUAAAUGCUUAUGGUGGAUCAUUUAAUGAAAUGAAUAGUCAUUGAGUUGAAUAGAACACUGUUCUAUUACUUCUUUUCUAAAAUAAUCCUUGGUUUUCAAAAUUCAGUUCUCAAUUUUCAAUACUCAAGUAUAAGUUGAGAUAUAUGAUUUUACUAUUUUAUCUCUUCAUAUAUUUACUUUGUUAUUAUUAACUCUUUUUUUUCUUAUAUAGAUUUUGGGCAUUACAAAUCCUACCCCCUUUACAGAAAUCUCAUCCUCGAGAUUUGUAAGGAAAGGGUGUAUACUCAUAUUGUCUCAACACAUAUGCACAAACAAAAAUCUCAGCAUGAUGCAUAAUUUACUAGCAACACAUGGGGUCAAAUAGACCUUAUUAUUCCUCCUAAAAUAGUAUCAUAUCAUCUACUUACUAAAGUAACAUUUAGGUCUUACAAAUAGUAGUAACGUAUAUAUAUGUUUAUGUAGCUUGGUGGAGCUGGUGGUGGUGGUGGAGGUUGUUGUUGUCGUUGUCUUUCCAACUGUGCUUGUCUUAUUUCUCGACGUAUCUCCAGUCGGUCCUGGCGUAUUUCCUCGCGUUCUUGUCUUGCCUGAUUUUGCAAUUCGGUAACCAUGUUUGCCAUUUGUUGUAUUAGCAUCAUUUGGGUGGCAACCACUUGGUCGAUUCCAACCGGUGGAAGAUUUGGAGGAUUCAUUUCUGUUUGCGGUUGCCUGAUAAUCUUCCCUUUCUGGUAUUGACCAUGAGAGUUAGAAGCAUAUGGUAAGAUAGUUUUGCAAGGGAAAUUAUUUGGUAGGCGGAACGAAUAGGCUGGUAGCUGGUUAUGAACUAAAGCUUCUUUGGCAGGGCUUAAUCUAUUGUUUUAUGCCAAGACUUGUGGGUAACUAGUUGUAUAAGGUGAAUAUCCAAAGGUAGGAUAGAAUUUUGUCGAGAUGAGAUAAUCUACAUGAUGUAGGUUAAAAGUUUGUUUGAUGUUAGGUGGGGACAUAUAAUUAAUCAAUUCAUCAUGACACUAUUGGUUGGGUUAGCUCAUGGUUGAGUUGAUUUAAUGCACUAAUUUAGGUUUAAGUGCAUGAGAGGAGAACAAGGUUUAUAGGAGUAGGAUCUAGUUUAUUUCACUAGUGCUCACUUGUUAAAUGACUCUCAUUAAAUUCUAUGAUUCUAUUUAAGAAUACCAUUUAGUUGACCAUAUCAAGCUGACUUUAAUUUUAUGAAAUUCCAGUAUAUAUAUACAUAUACAUAUUUUUAAGUGGAUCUUCCAAUUAUUAUGUUUUUAUACACCUAAAAUUCUUCAUGCCAUUAGCAAGUGAGGCUUAGAAAACAAGGGUACCUCAGAUUUUAGCUAUUAGGUGAGUGUAGAGAAGAUUCAGGGGUAAACGAAAGUUAGGUAAGGGCGACUUUUAUUUCAGAUGGUGGAUCUUGAUUCAUCCGAAUAUCUAUUUUACUAAUAUCCUUCCUUGUCGAAGUUAACCGGCUUCUUGAGUCUGAUUUAGGGACCAUCGGUUGUGGUGUUCCCAUUAUCUGAGUUGGGAUAAUAAUUGCGGGUACAUGGGGUAGGUAGAUUUAAACAAAGUUUUACUUUGUUUUUUUUGAGAUAAAUGGGUUUGGCAACCCAUCACAUGGGCUAGGUCGUGGUUUCACGGACGAGUUGGUCUUAAGACAACAAUUUAGGUUCAAAACCCAUUUAUAGGAAUAUGGUUUAGUUAAUACUUGUAACAUAGAUUAGACCAUAUUAGAUUAGGUAGGGUCUGGAUUAUAUUGGAUAUAACUGGAUUAAACUUGGUUAGAUAGAUCUACCAGGGUAGAAUAGAUAUUAUGACAUGUUAAAAUCUUUUAAGAUAGGAUGGAUGACAUGGGUAGGUAGAUCAGAAUCUCUGUUAGGUUAAACAGAGGGGUUAUGUAACUAUCUGAUGGUUAAGGUAGUCGCACAUGGUUAGGUAGUUGUAUGUGGUCUAGUUAAUCUAGAGCACCAAUUUAGGUUAAAACAAACAUGCUUAUAGAAGUAGGGUCCAAUCUAUUUUCCCAGUAUUAUCUAUCACGAUUGUCCAUUAGAUUAGAUCUAAUCAGAUUAGAUGGAAUCAAAAUUAAAUCGGUGUAAUCAGAUUAGAUUAGAUAAGAUCUACUUAAUUUAUUUUGAAAUAGAUCGUGUGUGUUACACUAUUAUUAGGUAAGCAAAGUGGUGGGGAUUAAGACAAGAUGAAUUUCUAAUAAUAAGAUAGAAUCUUUUGAGAUUAGUUAGAUCUAUUAGGAUAAGAUAAAAUCUUUUUGAGGUAAGAUGGGUCUAUUAGGUAAGAGGGAAUCUUUUAAGAUGGAAGAGAAUCUUUUAAGAUAGGACAGAUCUAUUAAGAUGAGGGAGAACCUUCCAAGAUAAGAUGGAUCUAUUUGACAUAUUCUAAUGGGGGUACUUUUAGUUGGUCUAGUUUAUCUUAUAAACAAUUUAAGAGGAUAAGAAUUUUUUUAACACAAGAUGAACCUAUUAGGAUAAGAUAGAUUACUUUAAAUUAAGAGGGAUCCAUUGAAGUAAGAAAUAAUCUUUUAAGGUAAGAAGGAUCCAUUUAAAAUAGAUACAAUUUAAUGGAGGAUAUCUAAGUUGUUUAGUUAUCUUAUGAAUUUUAUUUAUUUAUAUUUAUGCCUAUACGUAUAUGCAGAUGUAAUUGUGGACAUUACUCCACAACCCAUCACACUCAAUCAAAGAUCCAAAUCAGACAAAUAUCAUAAGAACAAACACUCAAGCGUAUAGAUACCUAUAAAAAUAGUUUUGUUUUUGUUCCAAAGAGUAGGUCUCCUAUUCCUAAAGUCACUUUAGGCACAGGAUUUCAAAGUAUGAAAUCCACAUUUGUCUUUAGAAAGAAGAGGUAAGAAUAUUGAGAGUAAAGCGGAAGUAGAUGAGAAAAGAUUAAGAUAAGUUUAAAAAUGAUUCAGACUAAGGUAAGUAGGUAAAGGUUUGUCCAUUUCUAUCUAGGUUUCGUCCUACAGUCAACAUUCCUCUGAUACCACUUCUGUCACACCCGGGCUUUAAGGAAAAAAGCUGGGUGCAUCUCAUACAUGCGCCAAAGAAGACAACAUAUAUAAUAACAUAGUGUAUAGAGAUAAAUUUCACAAUAUAAUCAGAGUAAUUAUUACAUAGCGGAAGUCUUACAAAAUAAAAGAUAAAUAUAACAGGAUCUAAAAUCCAUCCUUAGCGCCAGAAAGUCAAAUGGGAGACGUGUCACACCCGGGUUUUAGGGCACCAAGACCCGGGCGCGAACAUAAUCACCAGGUGCGCUGGGACCAAGUCUCACACAUAUGAUGAAUCAUGGCACAGGAUCGAAUGUCACAUAUUUACUACAUAACAGGAGUUCUAUACAAAAUAAAUAAAUAAUUACAUUAUAAGGAGACAACGGUCCAGCAACCCAAAGUUGACUGGGAGACGACGACCUAGACCUCUCAUGAACUCGUCACAGCAUCCUCCAUGCGCCUCAUCUUGUGGUACCUGUUCUUGACCUGUGGGGGGGUGUGAGACAGCAAGAGUGAGCUCACAUACGUUCAUCGCUCAACAAGUUGUGGGGAAUAAUGUGCAUGAACUCGCCAAAGGUGGGAGCUCACGUGAAGUGUAAGGCUUACCAAAGAGGAUGGUUAGAGUUGAGCAUUGCUUUUAAAGUUGGUCAAAAUUUUAUUAGCAGUUACUAAGUAUAAGUAAAUACCAACCCAAUUAAGAAAAGUAAUAACAUCACCUGCGAUGCAAUGCAUAUGACAAAUUGAAUUUAGUUCCAUAAAUUAAUCAUGUGAGGGUCCGAGUUGCUCAUGACCGUGAGCACGGCUAGUAUACCAGUUUUACACUCUGCAGAGGUUGCACAUCUUUACCCACAAGUCAUGUUACCCAUCUGCCAAGGGAUCGCGACUUCCCAUACACCUCUACCGAGGAGGCGAGGCAGGGUAACACUACGAGGCCUUUACAAAGUUCCACUAGCUUCAGAAAACCCGCUACAGUUUAUAGGAAGCUCCAAUGCAGGGUUCUUGCCUGACCGCCAUCGCAGCAAAAUCAACUAAGGACCUCCCUACACUGACCACUCCCCUACUGCCCUUGCCCCUUUCGGGUAAGGUAGUCCUCCACUAGCUUUCCUAAUUAAUCAGCCAAGGGCGUCCAUAAACCCUUGUGGUAGCACUGUUUUCCCGGUGGUCGCUCCAUGUUCCAAUUAACAUAAUGAUCUUAUCAUGGACAGUGAUAAUAAACAGAUAAUAAAAGUGUGAUCAUGAAUAAUGUAUCUUCAUACCCAAAACCAUAUAAAGCACUAGCAAGUACUACCCAAAAAGUUCAGUGGUAAACAAGGUAUAAAGAUAGACAAACUAGGGUAACCUAUUGGGUCCCAUCAAAAUUAACCUAUGCAGAUCAUUAUGAUUAAUCAGAACAUGGCUGGGUAAAAAGAAGUGAUCAAGGGCACAACUUGCCUGGCACUUGAGAUUCUAGUUACCAGGGUGAUUCUUCAAAUCCUCGUGACCGCACUGCUAGUCGUAGCAAUACAAACAGAUAUGGUAUAGAAAAAAUUAACAUCACACCAAUCAUAAGUACAAACUGAAUAAUAAUGAUCUACGCGAUGAUACGAGAUCGUAGAUUCAAGAACCACUAGAUUCGGAGCUACGGUUAUAAAGUUAUGAUUUUCUAAAGGUUUAGGAGUCGGAUACAAAAGAAAUCAAGUGCAUAAUUUUAAUUUAUGUUUCAUAGCAAAAUAAAGUUACCGGUUAUAAACAAUAUUAUUAUGGAUUUAUUGCAACUGGAAUGCAUUAUGUUGGAGUUAAAAUAUAUUAAUUAUGCAUUUACUAAAAAAUUUUUCUAGAUUUAUUUUCACAUUUAAACCAUUUUCUAGGUUUAUCCUAAAAGAAUAUCACAUUCUUGGGCUGCGGGUAAAACUACAGAGAAGUUCAGGACUAAAUUAAUUAAAUCUAGGACCUAAAUGUAUUAAUCUUUACGCCCUACAUGGACAGCGGGUUAGUUUCGCUAUUUUUCAUGGACUCUUGGAAAACCGGCUUGCUGCUAAAAUCACGAGGAUAUUCCAAGCCGUCCGAUUCACAACCAGCGAUCUGGAUUAGAAGACCCACGUGCCGAACAGGUACACAACGCCUGCCUUUGGAUCAUAGAUCGAUGGUCCGAAAUCCAUCGUGAACUACUGUAUUACUAGCCAUCCGAUAUAAAUCCCACGGUGACUGCCCCGCCUUCGACCUCACCACCAACAGCACGCAAACAAAACUCGCACUCCUUCUCUAUCGUCUGCUAAACCUAGAGCGACGGCUGACUCAGCGGCAUCCUGCCCGGCUACGGUACCGCGCCAGCGCUCCAGGCCAUUAGCCUAUGCUCGAAAAGCAGAGGAAGAUAUCCCGCCAGAGGAGAUGCUCACCGCUGAUGAAGCGAACUGGUUGACGACGAUGCGUAGGCCCACGUCGAGGUGCAGGCACAACGGUCACAGCGAGCUCCGGCACCUGUGGCCACCACCGGUGGAGGGAAGAUCCACGCGCCAGAUGCCUGAUCUCGUGCUGGCGCAUGCGCAAGCAGUCUCCCUCGCAAAUUCCCUAGAAGGCGAGCGAUGCGUGGAACUCAGCUCCUACCCGGGCAUCCUUGCGGCAAUGGUGAGGGGCGGUUAUGGGGAGGAGUAGUUUUAUACCCAGAGCUGGGAUCCGAUCGGCUAGCGCCGAGCUGGCACAUGGGAAAGAUUUGUUCCAAGUUUGUUGCGAUGAAACUGGAAUGGAUAUCUACUGAGGCGGCGCUAGGAUCUCCUCUACGGUCGGCCAUACGGUUGCCAUACCAGAAGGGCCCAACUGCUAGUGAGUACGGGGUUUCACAACUGACCUCAUCCCUGACGCCACGAUGACGUCAGCACGACGGAAAUGAAUAAAGAAUGCGGUGUACGUGGGUGGUUCUGCGUGAGUGAGGUGACCGACGUGACUCUGGCUUAGACUACGGUUAUCGCUAAUUAUCAUUUAAAUAUUCCUAAGGUUUUAGCUUUUGAUUUAAAUUUUCUUUUCUAGUUUGGGUUCACGCCAUUUAAUGCAACAGUCAAAAAGUCUCGGCAUGUGCUACCCAUUUGAUUCAUAGUUUAUGUAAUUACUACUUAUUUUAAUUGAGUACGGAUCUUAUGGUUAUUCGUAGAAUAAAUGUCGAGUCACAUAACAAAUUACCCAACUUAUGAAUCUGCUACGCUCACAAAAUGAAAAUUACUCUUUUGAAUGUAUAGUACAUUUAAAGUUUGGUUCAUAUUUAUCCAAAGAGGGGACUGUGCAGUGUAUAAUUGUUACCAAGGUAUCUUUUUAACUUAAUUCUUUUGGGGAAAUAUUUCUAACCAUAUGAUUCAACAAAGGUGGGUUUUAAUCAUAUAGGAUCGUUUAUUUAAUCUCUUAUUAUAAAAGACUUUAUUCAAACCUGGGAAUACAAAUUCCUAAAUCUCAAUGUAGGAUUUUGGGCUUUACAAAUCCUACCCCCCUUAAAAAUAAUCUCGUCCUCGAGAUUUGUAAGAAAAGAGAUGCAGAAGGAUUGGUUUGUAAUUCAGCUUUUAGUCUAUCGUCAUUCCAAAAGUCGAGAGUCUCAAAAAAAUUCUUUGUGGGUGAUUAGAAGAGCAUAGGUAUAUGUAGGUAUAGCCACGUUAUUAUAUAGGCUAAAAGAGGGGUAGUUUAGAGCAAGAAUAGCCUCAGGUAAGAAAGUUUAUGGUGGGAAAGAACUCCGUGUUGAGUGGUAAGGCAUCUGAAGAUUGAGUUUGACUUCUCUCCUUCCUUGACGAGGUUGAUCUUGUCCUUUUUUUCUUGGUCUCAUUGAUUCGAGGUUAGUGUACAUCAUCAGAGUUACCGGAGUAUGGUUGAAGAUAGAUAUGGGUGAGAUGGACUACAUGAUGUAGGUUAAAGUUUGUUUGAUGUUAGGUGGGGAUAGACAGAUUAUGCAAUUCUUCAUGACUCUAUUGGUUGGGUAAGUUAUGUAACUUGUUAUAUAGGUCAAGUUGUUGUGUAUGGCCAAGUCGAUCUAAGUCACCAAUUUAGGCUUAAGUGAAUUAGGAGUAUGGCCAUAUCCUUUGUACUAGCAUUAAGUAACUUACUCUAGAUUAGAUCAUGAUAGAUUAGAUAGAAUCCAGAUUAGGUUGGUACAACUAGAUUAAACUAGUUAUGAUCUCAUUAUUUUGGAUUAGGUCCUGGUGGUUACUUUAGGAUCAGAUAAAUAUAGUGGUUAGGAUAAAACGAAUCUUUCAUGAUGAGAUGAAUUCAUUAAGAUAAGAGAGAAUCUUUUAAGAUAAGAUGGAUCUACUAAAAUAUGAUAGAUCUUUUUAAGAUGAGAUGGAUAUUGUUAGGCUAGAUACUUUAUUGAGGGAUAAUCUAGUUUGUCUAGUUAGUUUUAUAAGCAUUAUGUAUAUGCAGAUGUAAUUGUGGAUAUUACUCCACAACUCAUCACACUCAAUCAAAGAUCCAAAUCAGACAUGUAUCAUAAGAACAAAACAUUCAAAUUCAUAGAUAUCUAUAAAAAUAGUUUUAUUUUUGUUCCUAAGAGUAGGUCUCCUAUUCCAAAAAUUCACUUUAACCACAGGAUUCCAAAGUGUGAAAUCCAAGUUUGUCUUUAGAAGUGAAAAGGUAAGAAUAAUCAGAGUAAAGCGGAAAUAGAUGAGAAAAGAUUAAGAAAAGUUUAGAAAAGAAUCAGAGUAGCAAAGGUAAGUAGACAAUGGUUGUCCAGUUCUAUCUAGGUUUCGUCCUACAGUCAACAUUCCUCUGAUACCACUUCUGUCACACCCGGGUUUUAGGGCACCAAGACCCGGGCGCGAACAUAAUCACCAGGUGCGCUGGGACCAAGUCUCACACAUAUGAUGAAUCAUGGCACAGGAUCGAAUGUCACAUAUUUACUACAUAACAGGAGUUCUAUACAAAAUAAAUAAAUAAUUACAUUAUAAGGAGACAACGGUCCAGCAACCCAAAGUUGACUGGGAGACGACGACCUAGACCUCUCAUGAACUCGUCACAGCAUCCUCCAUGCGCCUCAUCUUGUGGUACCUGUUCUUGACCUGUGGGGGGGUGUGAGACAGCAAGAGUGAGCUCACAUACGUUCAUCGCUCAACAAGUUGUGGGGAAUAAUGUGCAUGAACUCGCCAAAGGUGGGAGCUCACGUGAAGUGUAAGGCUUACCAAAGAGGAUGGUUAGAGUUGAGCAUUGCUUUUAAAGUUGGUCAAAAUUUUAUUAGCAGUUACUAAGUAUAAGUAAAUACCAACCCAAUUAAGAAAAGUAAUAACAUCACCUGCGAUGCAAUGCAUAUGACAAAUUGAAUUUAGUUCCAUAAAUUAAUCAUGUGAGGGUCCGAGCUGCUCAUGACCGUGAGCACGGCUAGUAUACCAGUUUUACACUCUGCAGAGGUUGCACAUCUUUACCCACAAGUCAUGUUACCCAUCUGCCAAGGGAUCGCGACUUCCCAUACACCUCUACCGAGGAGGCGAGGCAGGGUAACACUACGAGGCCUUUACAAAGUUCCACUAGCUUUAGAAAACCCGCUACAGUUUAUAGGAAGCUCCAAUGCAGGGUUCUUGCCUGACCGCCAUCGCAGCAAAAUCAACCAAGGACCUCCCUACACUGACCACUCCCCUACUGCCCUUGCCCCUUUCGGGUAAGGUAGUCCUCCACUAGCUUUCCUAAUUAAUCAGCCAAGGGCGUCCAUAAACCCUUGUGGUAGCACUGUUUUCCCGGGUGGUCGCUCCAUGUUCCAAUUAACAUAAUGAUCUUAUCAUGGACAGUGAUAAUAAAUAGAUAAUAAAAGUGUGAUCAUGAAUAAUGUAUCUUCAUACCCAAAACAAUAUAAAGCACUAGCAAGUACUACCCAAAAAGUUCAGUGGUAAACAAGGUAUAAAGAUAGACAAACUAGGGUAACCUAUUGGGUCCCAUCAAAAUUAACCUAUGCAGAUCAUUAUGAUUAAUCAGAACAUGGCUGGGUAAAAAGAAGUGAUCAAGGGCACAACUUGCCUGGCACUUGAGAUUCCAGUUACCAGGGUGAUUCUUCAAAUCCUCGUGACCGCACUGCUAGUCGUAGCAAUACAAACAGAUAUGGUAUAGAAAAAAUUAACAUCACACCAAUCAUAAGUACAAACUGAAUAAUAAUGAUCUACGCGAUGAUACGAGAUCGUAGAUUCAAGAACCACUAGAUUCGGAGCUACGGUUAUAAAGUUAUGAUUUUCUAAAUGUUUAGGAGUCGGAUACAAAAGAAAUCAAGUGCAUAAUUUUAAUUUAUGUUUCAUAGCAAAAUAAAGUUACCGGUUAUAAACAAUAUUAUUAUGGAUUUAUUGCAACUGGAAUGCAUUAUGUUGGAGUUAAAAUAUAUUAAUUAUGCAUUUACUAAAAUUUUUUUCUAGAUUUAUUUUCACAUUUAAACCAUUUUCUAGGUUUAUCCUAAAAGAAUAUCACAUUCUUGGGCUGCGGGUAAAACUACAGAGAAGUUCAGGACUAAAUUAAUUAAAUCUAGGACCUAAAUGUAUUAAUCUUUACGCCCUACAUGGACAGCGGGUUAGUUUCGCUAUUUUUCAUGGACUCUUGGAAAACCGGCUUGCUGCUAAAAUCACGAGGAUAUUCCAAGCCGUCCGAUUCACAACCAGCGAUCCGGAUUAGAAGACCCACGUGCCGAACUGGUACACAACGCCUGCCUUUGGAUCAUAGAUCGAUGGUCCGAAAUCCAUCGUGAACUACUGUAUUACUAGCCAUCCGAUAUAAAUCCCACGGUGACUGCCCCGCCUUCGACCUCACCACCAACAGCACGCAAACAAAACUCGCACUCCUUCUCUAUCGUCUGCUAAACCCAGAGCGACGGCUGACCCAGCGGCAUCCUGCCCGGCUACGGUACCGCGCCAGCGCUCCAGGCCAUUAGCCUAUGCUCGAAAAGCAGAGGAAGAUAUCCCGCCAGAGGAGAUGCUCACCGCUGAUGAAGCGAACUGGUUGACGACGAUGCGUAGGCCCACGUCGAGGUGCAGGCACAACGGUCACAGCGAGCUCCGGCACCUGUGGCCACCACCGGUGGAGGGAAGAUCCACGCGCCAGAUGCCUGAUCUCGUGCUGGCGCAUGCGCAAGCAGUCUCCCUCGCAAAUUCCCUAGAAGGCGAGCGAUGCGUGGAACUCAGCUCCUACCCGG